AAGAAUGUAGUUUAAAAAAACAAAUAAUUUCAAAUUAUUAAAUAUUACUUGCUUAAUCUUUCUUG
rnacentral:tRNA from 1 species